UUGAACGCUGGCGGCAGGCCUCACACGUGCAAGUCGAGCGGAUGAAGGGAGCUUGCUCCUGGAUUCAGCGGCGGACGGGUGAGUAAUGCCUAGGAAUCUGCCUGGUAGUGGGGGAUAACGUCCGGAAACGGGCGCUAAUACCGCAUACGUCCUGAGGGAGAAAGUGGGGGAUCUUCGGACCUCACGCUAUCAGAUGAGCCUAGGUCGGAUUAGCUAGUUGGUGGGGUAAAGGCCUACCAAGGCGACGAUCCGUAACUGGUCUGAGAGGAUGAUCAGUCACACUGGAACUGAGACACGGUCCAGACUCCUACGGGAGGCAGCAGUGGGGAAUAUUGGACAAUGGGCGAAAGCCUGAUCCAGCCAUGCCGCGUGUGUGAAGAAGGUCUUCGGAUUGUAAAGCACUUUAAGUUGGGAGGAAGGGCAGUAAGUUAAUACCUUGCUGUUUUGACGUUACCAACAGAAUAAGCACCGGCUAACUUCGUG
rnacentral:rRNA from 1 species